AACGAACGCUGGCGGCGUGCCUAACACAUGCAAGUCGUGCGAGAAAGUUCCUUCGGGAGCGAGUAAAGCGGCGCACGGGUGAGUAACACGUAGGUAACCUGCCCCCCAGUCUGGAACAACUAGAGGAAACUCUAGCUAAUGCCGGAUGAGACCACGAUCCCUUCGGGGGUUGCGGCCAAAGAUGGCCUCUACUUGUAAGCUAUCGCUGAGGGAUGGGCCUGCGGGCCAUUAGCUUGUUGGUGAGGUAACGGCUCACCAAGGCUGUGAUGGCUAGCUGGUCUGAGAGGAUGACCAGCCACACUGGGACUGAGACACGGCCCAGACUCCUACGGGAGGCAGCAGUGGGAAUAUUGCGCAAUGGGCGAAAGCCUGACGCAGCGACGCCGCGUGGGUGAUGAAGG
rnacentral:rRNA from 1 species